rnacentral:rRNA from 1 species
UACGUAGGGUGCAAGCGUUAAUCGGAAUUACUGGGCGUAAAGCGUGCGCAGGCGGUUGUGCAAGACCGAUGUGAAAUCCCCGGGCUUAACCCGGGAACUGCGUCCGAUACUGGAAGGCUUGAAUCCGGGAGAGGGAUGCGGAAUUCCAGGUGUAGCGGUGAAAUGCGUAGAUAUCUGGAGGAACACCGGUGGCGAAGGCGGCAUCCUGGACCGGUAUUGACGCUGAGGAGCGAAAGCCAGGGGAGCAAACGGG